CCUUCCCCGCGGACGUUGUGAGAAGUCCACUGAACCUUAUCAUUUAGAGGAAGGAGAAGUCGUAACAAGGUUUCCGUAGGUGAACCUGCGGAAGGAUCAUU
rnacentral:rRNA from 1 species